rnacentral:rRNA from 1 species
GAUGAACGCUGGCGGCGUGCCUAAUACAUGCAAGUCGAACGCAUUGUGGUUGAAAUGAUAUGAAGAACUUGUUCAGAUUUGAUUUUCAACAUUGCAAUGAGUGGCGAACGGGUGAGUAACACGUGGGAAACCUACCUCUUAGCAGGGGAUAACAUUUGGAAACAAAUGCUAAUACCGUAUAAUAAUUAAAACCGCAUGGUUUUAGUUUAAAAGAUGGUCUUGCUAUCACUAAGAGAUGGUCCCGCGGUGUAUUAGUUAGUUGGUGAGGUAAUGGCUCACCAAGACAAUGAUACAUAGCCGAGUUGAGAGACUGACCGGCCACAAUGGGACUGAGACACGGCCCAUACUCCUACGGGAGGCAGCAGUAGGGAAUCUUCCACAAUGGACGAAAGUCUGAUGGAGCAACGCCGCGUGUGUGAUGAAGGUUUCGGCUCGUAAAACACUGUUGUAAGAGAAGAAUGACAUUGAGAGUAACUGUUCAAUGUGUGACGGUAUCUU